UGGCCUAAUUGGAUGGCUUCCCAUCCAGGGU
rnacentral:piRNA from 1 species